rnacentral:tRNA from 1 species
CGGGGUGUAGCUCAGCCUGGUAGAGCGCUACGUUCGGGACGUAGAAGUCGUGUGUUCGAAUCACGCCACCCCGACCA